rnacentral:misc_RNA from 1 species
AAGUCGUAACAAGGUCUCCGUAGGUGAACCUGCGGAGGGAUCAUUACUGAGUUAUUACAACUCCAACCCAUGUGAACUUACCACUGUUGCCUCGGCGUAGAGGCCCGCUGAGACUCGUGCUCGGUGGGUGGACGCGCCGGUGGACCACUAGACUCUUUCUGUAGUCCCCUCGCGGACGUUAUUUCUUACAGCUCUGAGCAAAAAUUCAAAAUGAAUCAAAACUUUCAACAACGGAUCUCUUGGUUCUG